rnacentral:rRNA from 1 species
UAGGGAAUCUUCCACAAUGGACGCAAGUCUGAUGGAGCAACGCCGCGUGAGUGAAGAAGGUUUUCGGACCGUAAAGCUCUGUUGUUGGUGAAGAAGGAUAGAGGUAGUAACUGGCCUUUAUUUGACGGUAAUCAACCAGAAAGUCACGGCUAACUACGUGCCAGCAGCCGCGGUAAUCGUAGGUGGCAAGCGUUGUCCGGAUUUAUUGGGCGUAAAGCGAGCGCAGGCGGAAGAAUAAGUCUGAUGUGAAAGCCCUCGGCUUAACCGAGGAAUUGCAUCGGAAACUGUUUUUCUUGAGUGCAGAAGAGGAGAGUAGAACUCCAUGUGUAGCGGUGGAAUGCGUAGAUAUAUGGAAGAAUACCAGUGGCGAAGGCGGCUCUCUGGUCUGCAACUGACGCUGAGGCUCGAAAGCAUGGGUAGCGAACAGGAUUAGAUACCCUGGUAGUCCAUGCCGUAAACGAUGAGUGCUAAGUGUUGGGAGGCUUCCGCCUCUCAGUGCUGCAGCUAACGCAUUAAGCACUCCGCCUGGGGGAGUACGACCGCAAGGUUGAAACU